rnacentral:rRNA from 1 species
GAUGAACGCUGGCGGCGUGCCUAAUACAUGCAAGUCGAGCGAAUGGAUUAAGAGCUUGCUCUUAUGAAGUUAGCGGCGGACGGGUGAGUAACACGUGGGUAACCUGCCCAUAAGACUGGGAUAACUCCGGGAAACCGGGGCUAAUACCGGAUAACAUUUUGAACCGAAUGGUUCGAAAUUGAAAGGAGGCUUCGGCUGUCACUCAUGGAUGGACCCGCGUCGCAUUAGCUAGUUGGUGAGGUAACGGCGCACCAAGGCAACGAUGCGUAGCCGACCUGAGAGGGUGAUCGGCCACACUGGGACUGAGACACGGCCCAGACUCCUACGGGAGGCAGCAGUAGGGAAUCUUCCGCAAUGGACGAAAGUCUGACGGAGCAACGCCGCGUGAGUGAUGAAGGCUUUCGGGUCGUAAAACUCUGUUGUUAGGGAAGAACAAGUGCUAGUUGAAUAAGCUGGCACCUUGACGGUACCUAACCAGAAAGCCACGGCUAACUACGUGCCAGCAGCCGCCGUAA